rnacentral:rRNA from 10 species
GAAGCGGCAACAGCUCAAAUUUGAAAUCUGGCGUAAGCCCGAGUUGUAAUUUGUAGAGGAUGCUUCUGGGUAGCGGCCGGUCUAAGUUCCUUGGAACAGGACGUCAUAGAGGGUGAGAAUCCCGUAUGUGACUGGCUUGCACCCUCCACGUAGCUCCUUCGACGAGUCGAGUUGUUUGGGAAUGCAGCUCUAAAUGGGAGGUAAAUUUCUUCUAAAGCUAAAUACCGGCCAGAGACCGAUAGCGCACAAGUAGAGUGAUCGAAAGAUGAAAAGCACUUUGGAAAGAGAGUUAAAAAGCACGUGAAAUUGUUGAAAGGGAAGCGCCCGCAACCAGACUUUGCGGCGGUGUUCGGCUGGUCUUCUGACCGGUUUACUCGCCGCCGUGAGGCCAUCAUCGUCUGGGACCGCUGGAUAAGACCUGAGGAAUGUAGCUCCCUUCGGGGUGUGUUAUAGCCUCUGGUGAUGCAGCGCGUCUCGGGCGAGGUCCGCGCUUCGGCAAGGAUGAUGGCGUAAUGGUUGUCGGCGGCCCGUCUUGAAACACGGACCAAGGAGUCUAACAUCUAUGCGAGUGUUCGGGUGUCAAACCCCUACGCGUAAUGAAAGUGAACGGAGGUGGGAACUUUUUGUGCACCAUCGACCGAUCCUGAUGUCCUCGGAUGGAUUUGAGUAAGAGCAUAGCUGUUGGGACCCGAAAGAUGGUGAACUAUGCCUGAAUAGGGUGAAGCCAGAGGAAACUCUGGUGGA